CCUACGGGAGGCAGCAGUAGGGAAUAUUGGGCAAUGGGCGCAAGCCUGACCCAGCAACGCCGCGUGAAGGAAGAAGGCUUUCGGGUUGUAAACUUCUUUUGACAGGGAAGAGUAGAAGACGGUACCUGACGAAUAAGCCACGGCUAACUACGUGCCAGCAGCCGCGGUAAUACGUAGGUGGCAAGCGUUGUCCGGAUUUACUGGGUGUAAAGGGCGUGUAGCCGGGUUGACAAGUCAGAUGUGAAAUCCUGCGGCUUAACCGCAGAACUGCAUUUGAAACUGUUGAUCUUGAGUACUGGAGAGGCAGACGGAAUUCCUAGUGUAGCGGUGAAAUGCGUAGAUAUUAGGAGGAACACCAGUGGCGAAGGCGGUCUGCUGGACAGCAACUGACGGUGAGGCGCGAAAGCGUGGGGAGCAAACAGGAUUAGAUACCCCAGUAGUC
rnacentral:rRNA from 1 species